GUAUAUAUACAUAUCUGUUGUGUAUAUGCGUGAGUGUGGCCAUAUGUAUGUAUGUAUAUAUAUAUAUAUAUGCAAAUGUUUCACAUGGAAAUGUACAAGGAUAGGUUUGUAAUUACUUAGUGUUCGUGAGAAAUUUAACUUUGUUAUCAAAGGGAUAGGAGAAGGCCAAUCAAGCCUCAUCAUUGAAAACAUCAUUGACUACAGUAUCUCUUAGUUGUAUGUAGACAUUUGCAAGUUUAGACAGACAUGCGCAUACACAGAUAACAUGGCUGUGUUUAGAGGUGUAACACAAAACUGUUUCUUACAAUCUUGCAUUUAAUUAAGAAAAUACUAACAGGGUACUUGCACCGAUUCAAAAAGUUUAACAAAAUAAUCAUUAAGCAACUGGCACAAACGGAAUACCAUAUAUAACAACUAUACCGAACACGGAAUUAUUUUCUUGAAUUCUAGGAACAUUGAUUCCUGAAAAGACAAAAAUUAUUUUAUAGAGAAUAAUUUUCUUAAUUAUACACUGAAACAAAACCUAAGUAUGCAUAUGUAUAUAUAUAUAUAUAUAUAAAUAUAUACAUAUAAAUAUAUAUAUAUAUAUAUAUAUAUAUAUAUAUACAUACAUAUAUAUAUAUAUAUAUAUCUAUUUGGUGGGUGUUAGCGUGUGUAUGUAUAUAUGUAUAAAACAACCAGGAGUACAAAAGUUAUACUGUAUUUUUCUAGAUAUCCAGAAAUAUUUCAGGUAAGAAAGAAUCCAUCUAUACUGAAAUAAGCUUUAAAAAUGACAUACGGUCAUUACUUGCGUGAUAAACUUCAAUCAUGUUCUUCAGCUAUGUAUUUAUGUUUAUGAGUGUGAAGGUGGGUUUCUUACCAAAUGUCAACAAGACUGAAAUGAGGUUUUCAAUCAAGAUUUAAUGUUAAAAAGAAAUAGAUUUAUCCUUAAUUUUCAUUUUGAAUGAUUUUUCUCUUGUAAAGGAGAAAGUUAUUGAGAAAUUAGAAUCUUAUCAAAUGAGCUUCAAUAGUAUCGACAAACUUUGUUGAAAGGAAACGUCCAGAGUGGCUUGCCUGAAACGCAGAUUAACAUAAGUAAAAUACGCAAACAACUAAUUUUUAUAAUUUAAAGAAUAUAAUUGUUGAUAAGAGAAAAUAGAAAAUAGUAUAAGCUUUGCAGAAUUUCAUUCUCCAACAUUUAUGCGCGUGCGCAUUCAAUCCAUGACCCAAAUUUUGUAGCUCCAUUGGCUAGUUUGUUUGUGACCAACAGUGAAACUUUACCAUCUUUAAUCUCAAGUCAUCUUCUCUAUACCAGAGAAAAAUAAUUUCACAGUACAGAAGAACAUGAAAAGUUUCCUGGACCAGUCAUGUAAAAGAGGUUUGAAAAAAAUUAAUAACAGAACAAAAGAAGAUUCCUCUAGGAAACCAUUUUACAACAUUUACAAUUCACAACAAUUCACAAGUCUCUAUUAGUCAAGAUGCCUCACGGAGAGCUGGACUAAGCUUUUGAAUGCUGUCACUCCUCUGGCUAGGCGAGUAGGCCAAUAUUUGGCCCGAUCAGAAGACCACUCUGUUACAGGGUUACCCAUUUACAGGAGCAAAGUUCUGGCAAUAUUGUGACGAUGAAGAGAAACUGGAAAACAAAUGGAGUGAGGAGAAUGGGAGAAAGACAGCAACAAAAACAGAAAUGAAAGUUAAAUGUUAACGUCUGACAAGAAGAAACAUGUUACUGAUAACAGUGCUGGCUUUUGGCUACUUCCAAUGGAAAGGGUGGUGGGUAGCGGUAUGAAUUCCCUACUUAUUCCUGGGGACCAUCCUUCUAUGAACAUCCUACAUAUACUCAAGCCCAUAAUCAUCACACAUUUACACUUCCAGACAAAAGUAUUAUGUUGUUGCCAGUGGCUGGCAGAACUGGCAGGGCACCAGACACAUGUCUUUUUAAAUGAGAAAACAAAGGGUAGCCCCUUUGGCCAUCUUCAGAGAGACUGAUGGGGAAGAAAGGUUAAAGACCUGACCUAAAUGCUUGCAAAAGAGCAGACUCAACAAAAGGCACCUGAUGACCAGUUAGGGUUGUUAAAAGAGACAGGUUAAGCUGACCAUCAAGAAUAAAAAUAAUUCCUUCAUUCAAGUUC